ACACUCUAAAGAUCUUUCCAACUGUGGUUUCUAGUGACAGAGUGAUUUUGUAAUUUCAGAAUAACAAAAUUAUUUUCACGCCCUCAGCUUUUUAAAGUGGAUUUAAUAUGUACCACUGUGUAACCUGAAUGUUGUUGUUUUGUUGUUGUUAGCAACUUAGAGUACCCUGGUAAAUACCUCAAUUCUGCACCAUAAGCUACAACAAAAGGUACAGGCCAUGGUUAGGCUACGACCUCCUGGACCACAGAAGUGUGCCUGCAGAACCAGCAUUCAAUCAACACAAUAAUUAUUCAAAGGCAUAGAAGACAACAGGAAAGAAAGCAAAAAGCACAUAGUUUAUUGCGUUC
rnacentral:lncRNA from 1 species